GAGCUUUGACGUGGCGGCAGGCCUAACACAUGCAAGUCGAACGGUAACAGGAAGUGCUUGCACUUCGCUGACGAGUGGCGGACGGGUGAGUAAUGCUUGGGAACUUGCCUUUGUGAGGGGGAUAACAGUUGGAAACGACUGCUAAUACCGCAUAAUGUCUACGGACCAAACGGGGCUUCGGCUCCGGCGCAAAGAGAGGCCCAAGUGAGAUUAGCUAGUUGGUAAGGUAAAGGCUUACCAAGGCAACGAUCUCUAGCUGUUCUGAGAGGAAGAUCAGCCACACUGGAACUGAGACACGGUCCAGACUCCUACGGGAGGCAGCAGUGGGGAAUAUUGCACAAUGGGGGAAACCCUGAUGCAGCCAUGCCGCGUGUGUGAAGAAGGCCUUCGGGUUGUAAAGCACUUUCAGUUGUGAGGAAAAGUUAGUAGUUAAUACCUGCUAGCCGUGACGUUAACAACAGAAGAAGCACCGGCUAACUUCGUGCUAGCAGCCGCGGUAAUACGGAGGGUGCGAGCGUUAAUCGGAAUUACUGGGCGUAAAGCGCACGCAGGCGGUUUGUUAAGCUAGAUGUGAAAGCCCCGGGCUCAACCUGGGAUGGUCAUUUAGAACUGGCAGACUAGAGUCUUGGAGAGGGGAGUGGAAUUCCAGGUGUAGCGGUGAAAUGCGUAGAUAUCUGGAGGAACAUCAGUGGCGAAGGCGACUCCCUGGCCAAAGACUGACGCUCAUGUGCGAAGGUGUGGGUAGCGAACAGGAUUAGAUACCCUGGUAGUCCACACCGUAAACGCUGUCUACUAGCUGUUUGUGACUUUAAGUCGUGAGUAGCGAAGCUAACGCGAUAAGUAGACCGCCUGGGGAGUACGGCCGCAAGGUUAAAACUCAA
rnacentral:rRNA from 1 species